CCUACGGGAGGCAGCAGUGGGGAAUAUUGCACAAUGGGCGCAAGCCUGAUGCAGCCAUGCCGCGUGUGUGAAGAAGGCCUUCGGGUUGUAAAGCACUUUCAGUCAGGAGGAAAGGUUAGUAGUUAAUACCUGCUAGCUGUGACGUUACUGACAGAAGAAGCACCGGCUAACUCCGUGCCAGCAGCCGCGGUAAUACGGAGGGUGCGAGCGUUAAUCGGAAUUACUGGGCGUAAAGCGUACGCAGGCGGUUUGUUAAGCGAGAUGUGACAGCCCCGGGCUCAACCUGGGAACUGCAUUUCGAACUGGCAAACUAGAGUGUGAUAGAGGGUGGUAGAAUUUCAGGUGUAGCGGUGAAAUGCGUAGAGAUCUGAAGGAAUACCGAUGGCGAAGGCAGCCACCUGGGUCAACACUGACGCUCAUGUACGAAAGCGUGGGGAGCAAACAGGAUUAGAUACCCUGGUAGUCCACGCCGUAAACGAUGUCUACUAGAAGCUCGGAACCUCGGUUCUGUUUUUCAAAGCUAACGCAUUAAGUAGACCGCCUGGGGAGUACGGCCGCAAGGUUAAAACUCAAAUGAAUUGACGG
rnacentral:rRNA from 1 species